rnacentral:piRNA from 2 species
UCAGGGAACAUGAUCUACUAGAGGGGUGGU